rnacentral:rRNA from 1 species
GAGUUUGAUCCUGGCUCAGGAUGAACGCUAGCUACAGGCUUAACACAUGCAAGUCGAGGGGCAGCAUUAUCGGAGCUUGCUUUGAUAGAUGGCGACCGGCGCACGGGUGAGUAACGCGUAUCCAACCUUCCCCUUAGUAGAGGAUAGCCCGGCGAAAGUCGGAUUAAUACUCUAUGUUGUAUUUUGAGGACAUCUGACGAAUACCAAAGAUUUAUCGCUAAGGGAUGGGGAUGCGUCUGAUUAGCUUGUCGGCGGGGUAACGGCCCACCGAGGCAACGACCAGUAGGGGUUCUGAGAGGAAGGUCCCCCACAUUGGUACUGAGACACGGACCAAACUCCUACGGGAGGCAGCAGUGAGGAAUAUUGGUCAAUGGGCGUAGGCCUGAACCAGCCAAGUAGCGUGCAGGAAGACUGCCCUAUGGGUUGUAAACUGCUUUUAUGCGGGAAUAAAGUCAGGUACGCGUACCUGUUUGCAUGUACCGCAUGAAUAAGGACCGGCUAAUUCCGUGCCAGCAGCCGCGGUAAUACGGAAGGUCCGGGCGUUAUCCGGAUUUAUUGGGUUUAAAGGGAGCGCAGGCGGAGGAUUAAGCGUGACGUGAAAUGUCCCGGCUCAACCGUGGAACUGCGUCGCGAACUGGUUUUCUUGAGUGAGUGCGACGUCGGCGGAAUUCGUGGUGUAGCGGUGAAAUGCUUAGAUAUCACGAAGAACCCCGAUUGCGAAGGCAGCCGACGAGUCCUUAACUGACGCUAAAGCUCGAAAGUGCGGGUAUCGAACAGGAUUAGAUACCCUGGUAGUCCGCACGGUAAACGA